rnacentral:misc_RNA from 1 species
GCGACCACGCGUGCCUCUGAUUCUCUACCUCUCGAUGUGUCUACCCGUGGGGGGCGAUCAAACGCCCACCGCUCUUGCGCACCUUCUCUUCCCACUUCUUGUCGCCUUGUCGGAGACGCCCAUCAUCAUCGGCAUUGCCUCAUGCAGUACCUUCUCCUGGCGAGCUCCCGCGCCGACACCUUUCAGAGUUGGUCACCGACUCAAAUCGCUGUCACCCGCAAUGACGGAGCUCCUUUUUUCAGUCCAGGGGCCGCAAACGCUCUGCGCCGCGGCUGCUAUCGAUUCGUCGGGAGUCGCCCAGUGCUGAUUAGCUGGGUCGUCCUCGUGUGCCUCAGCACUGCGAUGGCGCUGGCGAUACAGCCACGAUACGACUUAGGCGUUGCCACUUACACUACUCUGUAUGCGCUACAGUUAAUCUGCCUCGCGUUCUUUUGGGUGCGCAUGGUGGCAGAGAUCAUUGCCGGUGGGCUCCUCGGGGGCUCACACGGCUUCCUGCGCAGCGUGUGGAACUGGGUCGAGGUCGGGGCAAACGUCUUUGGCCUCCUCCAGGUGAUUCCUCCGAUGUUCCACAUCCGCUGGAUGCGGGCUUUCGCGGCAGCGCGCCCAUUGCGCUUCUUUGUUUUUGUGCCGUGGUGGAGGGAGCAGCUGGUCCCUCUUUGCCGCGCCUUUCCGCGGUUGCUCGACGUGAUGAUCACCCUGGGCCUGUGCCUCUUGGCCCUGGGGCUCACCGGUGUCAUGGGGGUGGGCGGGGAGCUCCACCAGCGCUGCUACAUCACAAAUACCACCGGCUCUAGCCCGUACGAAAACCUGACGCUACCUUUUCUGUUGCGCAACAUCUCGGCGGCCUGCGGCGUGGGCUUCUCGUGUCCCACCGUCUCUGCGGAAGUGACCGUGCAGUGCCUGGCCAUAGCGCACGCUCACCGCGAUCGCUUCUUCACGUACGACAAUGCUGGGGCUGCGCUGCUGCUCAUGUUCAAGGUGGCAUCGAUGGACAUGUGGUUUGAAAACCUGGAAGAUAUCAUGAACGUCAAAGGCGCCAGCGCCGCGCUGUACCUCGUCGUCGUCGCCCUCGUCUCCCUGUUCCUAUUCGUACUCCUCACAAGCGUGGUGCACGGCGCCUACGCGCCGGUCGACACGUGGUGCGCGCCCUCCUUUACUGCGAAGGUGGGGCCAGCAGCACGGCAGCGGCAGGACUGCGGCGUGCAGACACUACCAGCAUGGCCGAAGACGCGACAGCACUGCUCAGCACGACCGACGCACGCGCACCAGCGCACGCACUCCAUGGAUGACGGCAGAGAGGUGGAGGGGGAUGUGCGAAGACAAAACCCGCUGAGUGGCGACGGCGGUGGCCAACAGGCACCACUAUACGCCUCGCGCAUUCCCGCAGAGGGCACCCUUGUCGCGCGUGAAUUUCCCCGUCACGUGCGCGACUUUGAGCGCGAUCUUCACGUGCUGGGGUUUCGGGCAGCGCUGCGUGCUCUCGAGGCGACCACCACCACUGGCGCUGGUGGCGCACCCCUGCUUCCUCUCAUGGCGUCUCUGGUGGACAGCCUCCCAUUUGUGAUUCUCCUUAUGGUGCUCUCCGUGAGCAGCGUCAUGCUGCUCGCAGUGGUAUCGACAUCCACGCCUGACUCGGCGGCCCGCCUUCUUCACGCGAUUUCUGCGUCACUGGCGGUCUUCUUCAUCGUCCCCGCUGUGCUCCGGCUCAUGGCGUUCGGAUUGGUGCGGGCGUCAGUUGAUGUCUGGAACUAUGCGGACCUUCUCGCCGCCGUGAGUGGUGUUUUGGAGCUGGCCGCUCCCUCACUCUUUAAUUAUCGCGUUGUUGGCGCGGUGCGGGUGCUCCGCUGCGUCCGCGUUGCCAAGUACCUCUGUCCUCUUUACCGGUACGAGUACCGCCUCAAAGGUCUCCUCAGUCUUCUUCUUCUUACAUCCGCGACACUUACGCUGUACGCGUUGUUGGGCAUGCAACUAUUUGCAGGAACCUACGACGCAGGAGCAGCACCGGCGCCGAUCCGAAACGGAGACUUCAACACCGCCUGGACCGCGCUGCUCGCUUGCUUUCGCGCCUUCACAGGUGACAUGUGGACGCGUUACAUGGUCGCGGUGAGCGAGGGCGGCACCAUCGCGACUGGAUCGCUGUUCUUUCUCUCGCUGCAGCUCUUCUCCCGUAUGAUGCUUUUCGCAGUUGGCAGCUCUAUUAUUAUUCUCGGAUCACGCGACGCGGCCCGCGACGAGGACGCGCUCUGCAGUAACGCGUUCCCGCCGCUGCUGCUGCUGCCUCCGCUGAAAAAAGAUGAUACCACGGCCGCGGGCGCCGCCGUUGACACUCGCAAUGGCGCCAGGGACCUCUCGCCGUCACCAGACGCCGGUGCCACAGCCGAUCGGCGGCGACGGCGCCGCCGUCCAGGCCGCCAAGCUGCUGAGCUGGCCACAGAGAAGCGCCUUCGCGUACGCGGGGAUGCCUUUCUGUUCGUCGGUCCUAUGAAUCCCGUGCGUAUCCUGCUGCUGCGCGUGCUUGGAUCCCCCUUCUACACACUCAUCAGCACACUGUGCGUCGCAAUCGGCGUCGUUGCCCUCUUCUUUGAGCGACGCCACCUCGACGCCGGCACCGAACGCACGCUUCACCUCGUCAACAUCGUCUGCCUCGUGGUGUUCGUCGUGGAGAUGGUUAUGAAGUGGCUUGCCUACGGCGUCGUAACACAAGGUUGGAGCGACGGCGAGGAUCACUACCGGGAAGCACGCCCACGGUACAUGCCUGCCUACUUUCGGUAUCCGCUCAACUGGGUCGAUUUCGCCGCUAACGGUCUCGCCCUUGCCGCCGUUGCCUACCCGCCUCUCCGUGUCGGUCGGGUUAUUCGCACUCCCCGUCUCUUCACCACACAAGAGCGCCCAAACAAGUCGUUCGUGGAGCUUGUGAAGGUCUUGCGGUAUACGAUGAGGGUCGCUCCGCUCAUAUUUUUUCUCUACGUCGCGUUUGCAGUGACCGCCAUGCAGAUGUUUGCCGGCGGACUCUUCCGUUGCAGCGAUGCCGCCGUCACCACUUCGGCCGACUGCUUUGGCGACUACAACACCACCGUGAUGGGGUACACGGGGCCCACAACUAGUGUGCGGAAGCGGAGGUGGGUGCGGGCGGGUUUCCAUUACGACGCUUUUGGGCCCGCGCUCCUCUCGGUAUUUGCCAUGACGACGGUGAACCACUGGGGGAAUUUCAUGGACGAUGCCAUGGCGAUCACGCACACGAUGACGACUUACAACCAUUCCGGUUACUGUGUCGUUUUUUUCAUUGUCUCGCUACUGCUCAUCCGCUUCUUUGCUGUCCGUACAAUGGCGGCAGUCUUCAUUGCUGAGCUGCGGGGCGUCGUGAUGGACUCUCUGGGUACGGCGCAGCGCACGCCGCAUCAGAUCCGAUUUGUUGUUUCGCGCGAGUGUAUUGCCCACCUGACGCAACUGCAGCGUCUCCUUCCGCCGUUACCCACCGCUGUGAGCCGACUGUGCCACCGCAUCCUCUCGGCCCAGCCGGCCCACUGGCCGAUCACCGUCUUCGACGCUGUUGUGCAAGGCGUGCUCGUGGUUGUGUGCGGGUUUGUAGCCGCCACUCGCGCUGGCGAAUCGCUGUGGCAGAAACGCAUGAUUGUGGCGGUGGACUGCGUCGCGGUAGCGCUGUGCGGAGCGGAAGUGCUGCUGGGGAUGUUGGCCUACGGUGUGCGGUACCUGACUCGGGCGUCGUAUGCGGCAGAUGUGGUGCUUUUCGUUCUCAUGGUCGUCGGCGUCGCGUCGCCAUCGCUGCGCUUCGUGACCGUGGUGAUCUUCGUGAAGCUGAUCAAGGCCGCCAGCACAGGCCUGGCGCUGCUGCCUGCCAAACGCCAUAUUCGCAUGUUGCUUAGCUCCGGCGCGCUUGCUCUACUCGUCCUCCAUGCGUACGCAGUGGUGGGCACGCUACUGCUUGGCGACAUCGCCCCUGACGGCGUCUACCUGACCGAAAAGCGCAACUUCAGCACCGUAAUCCGGUCACUGCUGGUGCUGUUGGACUGCAGCACCUUUGACCAAUGGCACCUUGUCAUGCACGCAUGCUUUGACGGCGCCGCGUGUCACAGCGAUGCCUCCGCCACGUGCGGCCACACCUACAGCGCCGUGAUCUUUUUUGUCUCAUUCAUCGUCAUCGAGAGCCUCGUUGUGAGCCAGCUCAUGCUGGCGUCGGCCGUCGUCGUCUUCACGGUUCCCCUCUUCACCGACGUUAUUCAGCCUUUUGUAGACGUGCGGCGCGCCUGGCAGAGAGGCGUCGGCGCCGGCGAGCCCACGUGCGACUUUGACACGUUGCUGACUUUACUCCCUCGCUUCCCGGCCUCACUGACGGACGGCAUUACCAGUGAGACCUCCAGCAAGGCCGAUCUCAUGGCAUUUCUCUCCUCGCUGCGCCUUCCUCUCGAUGAGCACCUGAGACUGCGGUACGCAGACGUUCUUCGCGGCUUUGCGUACCGCAAGUACAAGGUCGAUCUGGACGACGACCGCGCCUGCUCGUCCGCGCGCGAUAGACGGAUGUACCUCACCGCUGGUGAGUACUAUGGUCAACUGCUGGUGCAACGGUACUGCGACGAGAUGUCUCGUCUGACGCACUCCUCCGUUGGCGACGCGCGCACGCUUAGCACUGGGCUGCCGGCUGCCACGCCUUCAUAUGACGGCGUUGGAGGCCACGACGUGCUCCGCGUCCACGGAGACGACACUCUCGUGCCCAAGGGCGCGCUGCCCAUCCCAAGCUCCAACGUCUUUCUCUACACGUUCCCCGGCGAGAGCAACGAGGACGGUGUCUUCCCCCCCCACAUCGUAGAAGAGCAGAGCGGAAAACAGCGAGGGACGGGAUGGCGAGGAGGCCCCACGUGACGCACUAUUCAGAUGUAAAUGUGUACUUGAGCAUCAGCGCACAGGACAGUGUGAUCACACUCAUAGACAGUUUUGGCCGCGCCCAGCGUGAAGCGACGCCGAUGAUAACCUCAGGCAAAACACCUGAGCGUAGUCGAAGCGACUAGGCGCAGCGUGAAAAUCGGUGCCGUAGGGAGAAACGGUGGUGCGCCACUCGUCUUGCGAAAGUCCUGUAUUCUGCGUAGCCGGGGGCCCAUUGGUGAUGCCGCGCGGAACUGGCGCGCUUGCGGGGACCCGUGGUCGAUGACUGGUUCUCCCAAGGCCGCAUGCCCGAGACGCAUCGCGCACUU